CCUACGUGAGGCAGCAGUGAGGAAUAUUGGUCAAUGGGCGCGAGCCUGAACCAGCCAAGUAGCGUGAAGGAUGACUGCCCUACGGGUUGUAAACUUCUUUUAUAAAGGAAUAAAGUGAGGCACGUGUGCCUUUUUGUAUGUACUUUAUGAAUAAGGAUCGGCUAACUCCGUGCCAGCAGCCGCGGUAAUACGGAGGAUCCGAGCGUUAUCCGGAUUUAUUGGGUUUAAAGGGCGCGUAGAUGGGUUGUUAAGUCAGUUGUGAAAGUUUGCGGCUCAAACGUAAAAUUGCAAUUGAUACUGGCAGUCUUGAGUACAGUUGAGGUAGGCGGAAUUCGUGGUGUAGCGGUGAAAUGCUUAGAUAUCACGAAGAACUCCGAUUGCGAAGGCAGCUUACUAAACUGCCACUGACAUUGAUGCUCGAAAGUGUGGGUAUCAAACAGGAUUAGAUACCCCUGUAGUC
rnacentral:rRNA from 1 species